CCUACGGGCGGCAGCAGUGAGGAAUAUUGGUCAAUGGGCGAGAGCCUUAACCAGCCAAGUCGCGUGAAGGAUGACGGCCCUACGGGUUGUAAACUUCUUUUGUCAGGGAGCAAUUGAGUCCACGUGUGGGCUUAGCGAGAGUACCUGAAGAAAAGGCAUCGGCUAACUCCGUGCCAGCAGCCGCGGUAAUACGGGGGAUGCGAGCGUUAUCCGGAUUUAUUGGGUUUAAGGGGUGCGUAGGCGGAAUAUCAAGUCAGCGGGAAAAAUUCGGGGCUAAACCCCGUCGUGCCGUUGAAACUGGUGUUCUUGAGUGGGCGAGAAGUAUGCGGAAUGCGUGGUGUAGCGGUGAAAUGCAUAGAUAUCACGCAGAACUCCGAUUGCGAAGGCAGCAUACCGGCGCCCAACUGACGCUGAAGCACGAAAGCGUGGGUAUCGAACAGGAUUAGAUACCCGUGUAGUC
rnacentral:rRNA from 1 species